rnacentral:lncRNA from 1 species
CUAGUGCCCGGGCCUCCGACUCUGGGAGGUACUCCUGCGUGGCUGUGAGCGCGGUGGGCGAGGACCGCCAGGAUGUUGUCCUGCAAGUCCACAUGGUCACUCCUGGCUGCUGCGAGUAGCUAGGCCUGACCCAGGGUGUGGCCCCUCCUUGCCAGCCCCACCCAUGUGCCUGAGGGAGCCCUUCUCCUGCCCCCUCCUGCAGUGCCCCCGAGUAUCCUUGGAGAAGAGCUGAAUGUGUCCGUUGUGGCCAAUGAGUCAGUGGCCCUGGAGUGCCAGAGCCACGCCAUGCCCCCUCCUGUGCUGAGCUGGUGGAAGGACGGGCGGCCCCUGGAACCACGGCCUGGAGUCCACCUCUCCGCAGACAAAGCCUUGCUGCAGGUGUGCAGGCCCCUGGCCAGCCAAGCAGGCCUCCACCUCGGCCCAAGGGCAGGGUGGGGCCUGCAGGUGCCCCAGCUCAGUGACCUGCAAGCCCCUUUCCCC